AAUGAAAAAAAUGGAAAUAAAAUGUUUGUAAAUGGGUAGGGUCAGAGGGGGCGAAGGGAGGGCAGGGACAAGGGGAAAAAAUGAGAACCAAGACCUAUCAUGUAAAGAUACAAGAUCCCAAUAAUGAAUGUAACUGUACUGUACACCUAAAAUGUACCAAUAAACUUAAUCGGGGGGGGGGCAAAACCAAAAAAAGAACAAAAUCAGGAGCUUCCAAGAUGAUCAGAUACCAUACAGAUGAGAUCAUAAGUGAUGCUAGCUGGUGAUGCUGCCCUAUUAUCCCAUGGGGCAGCUUUUGGGAAAUGUCUUUCUUUGGGUUCCAGGGGGAAUAUGUCGCAAAGCUGAAACUUAAAUAAAUUGACAAAAGGGUACCAAGAAUGGAACCUGGAGCUUAAUUUGACUCAACAGGGGAAACUUCACCCAGCCAGGACCUGGACAGGAUUGAUAGCUCUUUCAAGAUUUGGUGGGUGGUAGUGUAUGGCUGUCCUUAGCUGAUGGAGCAAUUUGUUGGUUAAUUCUGAUAAUGAAGGAGACUAUGGCAUGCUAACUAGUUAUGUAACCCCAAGCAGUAGAUUGUACCCCAACUUCUUAGAGGAACAAGUGUCAUUCAGCCACCCGAGAGACUGAGCCAAAAGAGCUGUGUGAUGUCCUUAGAUGCCCAGGGCUGCUCACAUACUACACUGACUGGCUCAGUAUGUGCCUACUCUACACGAAGCAAGGCUUUUGAUCCCCGUUUAUGUUGAGGAUCAGGGAUUGCAAUUAUUCCCCAGGAAGGAGGAAUUUCCAGUAAGUGCAGGUCAUCAGCUUUCCUUAAGUCCCUUCCCUUGUACACACUGCCCUGUGGCUACUACACACAGGAUGUUUUAGUGGCACCCUCAGGUUAGCCCUGCUCAGUGGCUCCACAGCCCUGGUAAAUCGCUGAGACAGUGGAACUUGACUAGAGGGAGUGAACACACAGGGUCUCUCUCCCUAGACGAAUGAGCAAAAGGCUCACUA
rnacentral:ncRNA from 1 species